AUCAUUCUUAUGUGGACAAGGAAGCUUGGCGCUCAGCCCUGGAACACCGCUUGACACUGCAUUUAUAUUUUUCACUUUUUGUUUAGAUUUAAGUUUUAAUGUGGAGUCAGGAAAGCUGUGCCUUUUAUUUAUUCACUGUGAUUUGGAAAGUCAACUUUAUUGAGUUUGUCAUAAGUCUACUUUAACUCAUGAACACAUUCACCUCUAAAAACGGAACGAGAGAGUUCCAGAUACCCAGACAUAUUCUAAAGCUCUACAAGAAAUGUGGUGACAAGUUCCUUGGAAGCUUUUCAAAACUUUUCUACCUUAUCUUCUCCUGCUAGAUACAGUGCGGCGGUUCUGAGCAGCACAGCCGCUCAUGUGUCUGCUGUUCUUGCUGCAAAAACCAGACUCUCCAGUCCUGAAAAGUAUCACUCACUCCUGGAUGCAC